rnacentral:rRNA from 1 species
UACGGGGGGAGCAAGCGUUGUUCGGAUUUACUGGGCGUAAAGAGUGCGUAGGUGGUGCCCUAAGUCUGUUGUGAAAUCUCCCGGCUUAACUGGGAGGGUGCGGUGGAAACUGGGGUGCUUGAGUGUGGGAGAGGUAAGCGGAAUUCCUGGUGUAGCGGUGAAAUGCGUAGAUAUCAGGAGGAACACCGGUGGUGUAGACGGCUUACUGGACCACGACUGACACUGAGGCACGAAAGCGUGGGUAGCAAACAGG